GAAUUACAGUGAUCAUCAUCAACGUAGCCUGAAGUACAACAUUGAAGGACAGAAAUAUGCUGUUCCAGGGGGUCUUCUGAUGCAGUGGUAGCUUCCCUAUUGAGCACCAGAAACUCUUUGGUCGAGGUCCAUGCCAGGGCCUGUUGGCUAUGAAAGGAACAGUAAUAACAAGGCCAAAGAGUUUGAUGACCAGUCUGCAAAUCCUUGAAGGCGAGCAGGAUCGAUGAAACCUGAUUACCGAUGCUGGAAUCGAGGUCUGACCAGUAUGGGAAUGAGACCUGACCCCACGAUGACCUGAUAUCAAGGACGACCAACCAGACUGAUUGCAAGACCCCAUGGCCACGACUGGUGCUCAGAACCCUAUCAGAUGCAUUCAGUUACCUUGUGGAGAAGCUGACUUCACUCACCCACAUCUGGGAUCGACUACAAGCAGCCAUCUACCCAGGAAACGUGAGAGGUGGGUGAGACUGAAACUCCAAGGGUUCAAGCCCCCAUCCCCAACAUUCUCCUGGCAAACGUUCAUUGUGAACAAAAUGGAUGAACUAAAAGCUGGAUUCACUUUCCAAAGGGAAUUGAGAGAACUGUUGUGUGUUUUGCUUUACAAAGACAUGGCUCACUCCUGUUUCACCAGACUGUGCCUUACAACCUGACGGUUUCUCAAUGCACCGAAUGGACCACUCAGCAUCCUUGGGCCAGGCAAGGGGCACAGGGGUCUGCCUCCUGAUCAACACCUUUUGGUUCUCAGACGUGGCAAUCCUGGUAAGUCACUGCUCCCUGGACCUCAAAUAUCUAAAAGUGACAUGUCAUCCAUUCUAUCUGCCACGCGAGUUCACCUCCACUAUUCGCACAGUGGUCUACAUCGGACUGGAUGAGGAGUGAAGAGUAUACUUGAUGAAGUAUACAACACUACAAAGAGUCUUGAGAUGGAAUAUCCCGAAGCCUUGUUUGUCAUAGCCAGUGACUUCAACCAGGCCAACCUUAAGAAUAUGCUGCCAAAGUUCCAUCAACCCAUCUCCUGUCAACAUCAGAAGUCUGAACAUUCUUUACCAUUGCUGUACAACCAUCAAAGAUGCCUACUGUUCCGUUCCCCAUCUGCAUUUUUGAAAAUCAGACCACAACGCUGUGUUCCUCCUCCAGCAUAUGAGCAGAAAGUGAAGUGUGAGGACUCAGUACAGAAAGUGGUGCAGAGUCAGUCUGAGGAAUGGAUGGGCAGCUCAGUGUCAGUGGGCUAGUCCAUAUUCAAGAACUCAGUGAUCAACCUAAACGAGUAUGCCACUACCAUUAUGGACUUCAUUAGUAAGUGUAUAGAAGACUGUAUGCUGAAGAAGUUAACCUGAAUGUCCCCCAACCAGAAAUCAUGGAUGAAUUGGGAGAUCCAUUCCUCACUGAAAUCCAGGUCUAAGGCAUACAAAUUGAGCAACUCUAACCUAUACAGGAAAUCCAGGUGUGAGCUUCACAAGGCCAUUAGAGAUGCCAAGAGGCAAUACCAAACUAAGCUUGAGACCCAGACCAAUCACAUGGACACUUUCAGUUACAUAUGGGGAGCAGAGACCUGGAGUUUGGAGAUGAUUUGCUUGGAAUUACGGUGUUGAAGACGGAGCUGUAGUCAAUGAGUACGAGCUUGUUAUCCAGAUGUUCCAGGGAUGAGUGUAGGUGUCCAGGAAUUGGAGUGGAGAGCACAUCACUGUCUGCAUCAAUGGUGCUGAGGUGGAGAUAGUCAAGAGCGUCAAGUUUCUGUGAGUGAUGAUCACCAGCAAUCUGACCUGGUCCACCCGCAUUGACAUGAUGGUCUGGAAAACACAACAACAACUCUACUUCCUCAGGAUGCUAAGGAAAUUCAGGAAGUCCAUAAAAACUCUUAUAAAUUUUUGUAGAUGACCCAUAGAAAGCAGUCUAUCUGGGUGGAUCACAGCUUGGUAUGGCAAUUACUCUUCCCAUGACUGAAAGAAACUACAGAGAGUUGUGAACACAGCCCAGUCCAUCACGUAAACCAGCCUCCCAUCCACUCGCUCUUAUCGACACUUCCUGCUACCUCGGGAAAGCAACUAAAACAAUCAAGGACCCCUCCCACCCUGGUUCUACUCUCUUCCAUCAAGAAGAUAUAUAAGUUUGAGUAUACGGACAAACAGAUUCAAAAACAGUUCCUUCCCUGCUGUAAUCAGCCUUUUGAAUGGACCUCUUUAAUGUUAAUGUUAAUGUUGAUCUCUCUGCACCUUCUCUGUUGCUGUCACAUUGCAUUCUGCACUCUGUUGUGUUACCCUGGUGCAUUUGUAUAGUACGAGUUGUUUGUGAAGCACAUAAGAUAUUACCUUUUGCUGCACCUUGAUACAUGUGACUCUAAUAAAUCAAAUCAAAUCAAAUCAACAGGGGAUAAAGUCUUCAGCACCUGUGGUAACUCCUGUGUGCUUUCCUGCACUUAAGGUAAUUGAUAACACUUGAUUGAUGCAUGGAAAGUGCCUACAGUUACUUUAAUUGCUAUAAUUAGUAAUAUAUUUUAGAGAGAGAUACACAGACACACUGGACCAAGCAUCCAAUGUUUGAUUUUGUAAGUUAUCUAUAAGAGUUACAGCUCUCUUGGGCACUGCUGUUUAAAUUUUCUCGCUGAAUAAAGGCCCUUUGUAUUUACAGUCAAGUGGCUCCAGCAAAACUGAAGAUUUUGUCCAGCCCAUGUUGGCCUGAGUGGGUGGUGGUGAUGGGCACUUUCCUUGAACUGCAGCAGCUAUUAUGUAGUUGGAGCUCCCACGGCUGUAUUGUAAUGCAAACAUAAAAACUGUACUUCUGAUUGACUUGGCAAUGUAACAAUUUACAAUAAUAUUCUUCACCAGCCACAUGUUCAAAACACACAUGGACUUUUUCAAGCCUCCGAGGACUUUCUUAUGGAUGUCAUAAAAGUGAAAAAAUUAUAUUCAACCUUAAUUUUCCAGGAAAUCUAAACCUUUGGUGUGUAUAAAUAACAAACGAGGAAACAUUCGGGUUUAUAAUAUCACUGACCUGCGAAUAUUGCAUGGGAUAUUAAUUUGUAAGAA